GAGCUGAAGGAAGUGGCGAACGGGUGAGUAACACGUGAGCAACCUGCCUUACACAAAGGGAUAGCCACUGGAAACGGUGAUUAAUACCAUAUGAGACCACAUUCUCGCAUGGGAAAGGGGUUAAAGAAAUUCGGUGUAAGAUGGGCUCGCGUCUGAUUAGCUAGUUGGAAGGGUAAAGGCCUACCAAGGCGACGAUCAGUAGCCGGUCUGAGAGGAUGAACGGCCACACUGGAACUGAGACACGGUCCAGACUCCUACGGGAGGCAGCAGUGGGGAAUAUUGCACAAUGGGGGAAACCCUGAUGCAGCGACGCCGCGUGAGCGAAGAAGGUUUUCGAAUCGUAAAGCUCUGUCCUAUGAGAAGAUAAUGACGGUAUCAUAGGAGGAAGCCCCGGCUAAAUACGUGCCAGCAGCCGCGGUAAUACGUAUGGGGCGAGCGUUGUCCGGAAUUAUUGGGCGUAAAGGGUACGUAGGCGGUUUAUUAAGUCAGGUGUGAAAGCGUGAGGCUUAACCUCAUUAAGCACUUGAAACUGAUAGACUUGAGUGAAGGAGAGGAAAGUGGAAUUCCUAGUGUAGCGGUGAAAUGCGUAGAUAUUAGGAGGAAUACCGGUGGCGAAAGCGACUUUCUGGACUUUUACUGACCCUCA
rnacentral:rRNA from 1 species